rnacentral:rRNA from 1 species
UACGGGGGGGCAAGCGUUGUUCGGAAUUACUGGGCGUAAAGGGCUCGUAGGCGGCCAACUAAGUCAGACGUGAAAAUCCCUCAGCUUAACUGGGGAACUGCGUCUGAUACUGGAUGGCUUGGAUUUGGGAGAGGAAUGCGGAAUUCCAGGUGUAGCGGUGAAAUGCGCAGAUAUCAGGAAGAACACCCGUGGCGAAGGCGGCUCUCUGGGACGUGACUGACGCUGAGACGCGAAAGCGUGGGGGAGCGAACAGG